GGCUGGGGCUCAGAGGUAGAGUGCCAUGCCUGCCAUGCGUGAGGUGCUGGGUUCAAUCCUCAGCACCA
rnacentral:tRNA from 1 species